rfam:Gossypium raimondii Chr05_contig_464, whole genome shotgun sequence.
UAUUAAAAAUUUCAUCUCUUUGUAUUGUUAAAAACUGGUGUGGUUGACAGAAUAACCAGAGAGUGAUGUUGCGUGACACGUGUGCCUCAUGUUGACAUACAGUGAGUGGUAUUUAAAAGUAGAUAUCGAUAAAAAUUUUAACA